rnacentral:rRNA from 1 species
UAGUGAUUGUGCCAGCCGCCGCGGUAAUACAGAGGGUGCAAGCGUUAAUCGGAAUUACUGGGCGUAAAGCGAGCGUAGGUGGCUUGAUAAGUCAGAUGUGAAAGCCCCGGGCUUAACCUGGGAACGGCAUCUGAUACUGUUAGGCUAGAGUAGGUGAGAGGAAGGUAGAAUUCCAGGUGUAGCGGUGAAAUGCGUAGAGAUCUGGAGGAAUACCGAUGGCGAAGGCAGCCUUCUGGCAUCAUACUGACACUGAGGUUCGAAAGCGUGGGUAGCAAACAGGAUUAGAUACCCUGGUAGUCCACGCCGUAAACGAUGUCUACUAGUCGUUGGGUCCCUUGAGGACUUAGUGACGCAGCUAACGCAAUAAGUAGACCGCCUGGGGAGUACGGCCGCAAGGUUAAAACUCAAAUGAAUUGACGGGGGCCUGCACAAGCGGUGGAGCAUGUGGUUUAAUUCGAUGCAACGCGAAGAACCUUACGUGGUCUUGACAUAUCUAGAAUCCUGCAGAGAUGCGGGAGUGCCUUCGGGAAUUAGAAUACAGGUGCUGCAUGGCUGUCGUCAGCUCGUGUCGUGAGAUGUUGGGUUAAGUCCCGCAACGAGCGCAACCCUUGUCCUUAGUUACCAGCGGUUUGGCCGGGAACUCUAAGGAUACUGCCAGUGACAAACUGGAGGAAGGCGGGGACGACGUCAAGUCAUCAUGGCCCUUACGACCAGGGCUACACACGUGCUACAAUGGUAGGUACAGAGGGCAGCUACACAGCGAUGUGAUGCGAAUCUCAAAAAGCCUAUCGUAGUCCAGAUUGGAGUCUGCAACUCGACUCCAUGAAGUAGGAAUCGCUAGUAAUCGCGGAUCAGAAUGCCGCGGUGAAUACAUUCCCGGGCCUUGUACACACCGCCCGUCACACCAUGGGAGUUGAUUGCACCAGAAGUGGUUAGCCUAACCUUUUAGGAAGGCGAUCACCACGGUGUGGUUGAUGACUGGGGUGAAGUCGUAACAAGGUAACCG